rnacentral:lncRNA from 1 species
GCCACCCGGUGCAGGCAGCUCUUGUACCGCCCGUUUGACAGGGCCUGCAGAUGCAACACAUCAAUUUCACGCGUAGCAACUCCGUUUUAUCAUAUUUCUUCAAGUACUUGGAUUUUUUGGAAUCAAUUCUAUUGGACCUCUCUUGCGAAUGUUUUUACUUUUCUUUGUUUCAGCUUGCCAUAUUAACGUUUGUCAUGCGGUGGCAGGUGCAGGAUGGAUGCUUGCUUGUUUCCUGUUUCGAAUUGUUUCUAUAAAAUAAACUGAUGGCAAUGUGGUGGAAGGCAGCGUAUUAUUAGCUUGACUUGUGGUGGAAUGGUGCACCAUCGCUUGCAGCCUGACGCACGUCAUGUCCGCUGCUACCCGCAGGAGAUGAAGUGGUGCAUGACAGUUUGCUCUCUUGAAACAUUCGAAAAGUUUCAUGCAUGCGAAGGUGCACUGUUCUGAAGUACGUUUAAAUCCAUGAUCGGUAAUAUAUGGGAAAAUGGAAGCUGGGGAGUGAAUGAUGAUGAACGUAUACCACCAUAAACCUCCAUAAACUGUGUGUGUGAGUGUGUGUGUUUAUUUAUGUAUAUCAUAGGUGUGUAUAAAUGUCUUUUAGUUUUGAACUCUUGCAAUUAGGGCCAAAGAGGCCUGAUAAUGUUUUUAAUUUCUUUUCUUCUUUUGGAUGAAAGGCCUGAUAAUGUGUUAAAACUUCGUAGUGG